CCUACGGGGGGCAGCAGUGAGGAAUAUUGGUCAAUGGACGAGAGUCUGAACCAGCCAAGUAGCGUGAAGGAUGACUGCCCUAUGGGUUGUAAACUUCUUUUAUAAAGGAAUAAAACGAGGCACGUGUGCCUUUUUGCAUGUACUUUAUGAAUAAGGCUCGGCUAACUCCGUGCCAGCAGCCGCGGUAAUACGGAGGAUCCGAGCGUUAUCCGGAUUUAUUGGGUUUAAAGGGUGCGUAGGCGGACUGUUAAGUCAGCGGUAAAAGCCCGGGGCUCAACCCCGGCGAGCCGUUGAAACUGGCGGUCUUGAGAUGUCGAGAGGUAUGCGGAAUGCGCAGUGUAGCGGUGAAAUGCUUAGAUAUCACGCAGAACUCCGAUUGCGAAGGCAGCAUACCGGCGCCCAACUGACGCUGAAGCACGAAAGCGUGGGUAUCGAACAGGAUUAGAUACCCUUGUAGUC
rnacentral:rRNA from 1 species